rnacentral:rRNA from 1 species
AUACGGAGGGUGCAAGCGUUAUCCGGAAUCAUUGGGUUUAAAGGGUCCGUAGGCGGACUAUUAAGUCAGAGGUGAAAUCCCACAGCUCAACUGUGGAACUGCCUUUGAUACUGGUAGUCUUGAGUUAUAUGGAAGUAGAUAGAAUGUGUAGUGUAGCGGUGAAAUGCAUAGAUAUUACACAGAAUACCGAUUGCGAAGGCAGUCUACUACGUAUAUACUGACGCUAAGGGACGAAAGCGUGGGGAGCGAACAGGAUUAGAUACCCCUGUAGUCC